GAUCUCACUCAUACCCCCAUCUUCAUUCUCUGUACUCAACCCAAGAACAAGAACACAAUACACACAAACCUCUCUAUCUAUGUUGAUCUGGUGCUUCAUAAUGGUUGCACCAUCUAGGAUUUCGAUCUAAAUCGCUGACCCCUCAUAUCGCAUCAUCGACCCCAUCUGUUCUAGAUCUGAAUCGCCGCCAUGAUAUGUUAGGUAUUUUCGCCCAAAUCGGAGGUUCAGUCUGAGUUGUCUGAAAAACAAACCGAAAUUGACAGGGAAUGGGAGAGAUCUGGCGGUAGUUAAGUCAUUUCAGGUGGUGGCGCGCCAGUGGUGACGACGGGUCAGAUAAUUAGAAGACGAUGACGUCGGGUUUGCGAGAGUGUGUUUGUUAUUUGGAUUUUUGAUUCUGUUAUAUGGAGAACUAGUUUUAAUGUCAUGAACAACAAGUUUAAUCCAUCUUUAUCUACAAUACCUUGGUCAAACAUGGGAGAACCCAUCACCACAAAUGAGAGCUGCUGAUGUGAGAUAUGGAGGUGGUGGCAGGUUGUGAAUUGGUGAUGGAGACGAACAAGACGGGAAGACAGAGUUGGAAAAGAGAGAGAAAUUGGGUGAUUGUUUAUAUAUAUAAUUUUUAAUUGUUGUAAGUUCUUUUUUUUUCUUAUUUGUUAAACUAGUGGGAAACCCGCGCGUUGCAGCGGAGUUGACAAUAUGGGCCGAGAACAUAAUUUAAACCUAAACGUUAAAAACCUUUAUGAUGUCUAUUACAAAAAGUACCCGUGUAAUACACGGGUUGAGUAAGUAAAUAGUUAUUAAUGAAAAUUUAAGAAAUAUUUU
rnacentral:lncRNA from 1 species